rnacentral:tRNA from 1 species
AGCCCCGUGUUACACAAGAUUGCAAAUCUUGAAACGCAGAGUUACGUCUGCCGGGGUUU